AGCUCCAAUAGCGUAUAUUAAAGUUGCUGCAGUUAAAAAGCUCGUAGUCGAAUUUUUGGCCUCUGCGAGAUUGGUCCGCAAAUGGUUUUUCCUAACCGGAGAGACUUUUGUGAGAACUGGUCUAUUGCGGAAGCCUUCCAUCUGAGGACUGUGUGUAUAUCCUUUGUGGUGUGCGUACAGGACUUGGAUCGUUUACUUUGAGAAAAUUAGAGUGUUCAAAGCAGGCCUUUUUGUUUCUGAAUACAUAAGCAUGGAAUAAUUCUAUAGGACCGUGGUUCUAUUUUGUUGGUUUAUGGAACCUUGGUAAUGAUUAAUAGGGGUGGGGUGAGGGCAUUCAUAUUCCAUUGUCAGAGGUGAAAUUCUUAGAUUAAUGGAAGAUGAACAACUGCGAAAGCUUCUGUCAAACACACCCCCAUUA
rnacentral:rRNA from 1 species